GUGGUGUGAUAGGAAGAGGAGGAGGAGGAAGAGGAAAAAGAACAGAUAACAGCAAAGGAAGGACCAGGUGAGAAGGACCCUACGAAGCCAUCAUAUGCGUAUCCUGCACUAGACAUCUCAGUACCCAGACCUCCUGGCUCCAAGGAAGGACACCUGGACCUUCAACUUUGUUCUAACUGGUUUCUGGAUGCCUGAGGGGACACAUGCACCAGACCACAAGCCUCAGUUAAAAUUCCAGAUCCUGAGCAAAGAGGAGCCUCCCUCCUUUCUCGAGUCUUCCAGACACUCUGUCCACACCUGCACUCUCUGUACUUUCAAUAAACUCUACUUUCACCUCCUA